UACGUAGGCAGCAAGCGUUGUUCGGAAUUACUGGGCGUAAAGAGUGUGUAGGCGGUGCUCUAAGUUUGGUGUGAAAUCUCCCGGCUCAACUGGGAGGGUGCGCCGAAAACUGGAAUGCUUGAACGUGGGAGAGGAAAGCGGAAUUCCUGGUGUAGCGGUGAAAUGCGUAGAUAUCAGGAGGAACACCUGUGGCGAAAGCGGCUCACUGGACCACAACUGACGCUGAUGCACGAAAGCUAGGGGAGCAAACAGG
rnacentral:rRNA from 1 species